GACGAACGCUGGCGGCGUGCUUAACACAUGCAAGUCGAACGGAAAGGCCUCUUUCGGGGGGUACUCGAGUGGCGAACGGGUGAGUAACACGUGAGUAACCUGCCCUUGACUUUGGGAUAACUUCAGGAAACUGGGGCUAAUACCGGAUAGGAGCUCCUGCUGCAUGGUGGGGGUUGGAAAGUUUCGGCGGUUGGGGAUGGACUCGCGGCUUAUCAGCUUGUUGGUGGGGUAGUGGCUUACCAAGGCUUUGACGGGGAGCCGGCCUGAGAGGGUGACCGGCCACAUUGGGACUGAGAUACGGCCCAGACUCCUACGGGAGGCAGCAGUGGGGAAUAUUGCACAAUGGGUGGAAGCCUGAUGCAGCAACGCCGUGUGCGGGAUGACGGCCUUCGGGUUGUAAACCGCUUUCGCUCAUGACGAAGCUUUGUGUGACGGUAGUGGGUAAAGAAGCACCGGCUAACUACGUG
rnacentral:rRNA from 1 species